rnacentral:rRNA from 1 species
GACGAACGCUGGCGGCGUGCCUAAUACAUGCAAGUAGAACGCUGAAGGAGGAGCUUGCUUCUCUGGAUGAGUUGCGAACGGGUGAGUAACGCGUAGGUAACCUGCCUGGUAGCGGGGGAUAACUAUUGGAAACGAUAGCUAAUACCGCAUAAUAGCAGUUAUUGCAUGAUAACUGUUUGAAAGGUGCAAUUGCACCACUACCAGAUGGACCUGCGUUGUAUUAGCUAGUUGGUGGGGUAACGGCUCACCAAGGCGACGAUACAUAGCCGACCUGAGAGGGUGAUCGGCCACACUGGGACUGAGACACGGCCCAGACUCCUACGGGAGGCAGCAGGAGGGAAUCUUCGGCAAUGGACGGAAGUCUGACCGAGCAACGCCGCGUGAGUGAAGAAGGUUUUCGGAUCGUAAAGCUCGGUUGUAAGAGAAGAACGAGUGUGAGAGUGGAAAGUUCACACUGUGACGGUAUCUUACCAGAAAGGGACGGCUAACUACGUG